UACGUAGGGGGCUAGCGUUGUCCGGAAUCAUUGGGCGUAAAGCGCGUGUAGGCGGCCCGGUAAGUCCGCUGUGAAAGUCCAGGGCUCAACCCUGGGAUGCCGGUGGAUACUGUCGGGCUCGAGUCCGGAAGAGGAGUGUGGAAUUCCUGUGUAGCGGUGAAAUGCGCAGAUAUCAGGAGGAACACCAAUGGCGAAGGCAGCACUCUGGGACGUGACUGACGCUGAGACGCGAAAGCGUGGGGAGCAAACAGG
rnacentral:rRNA from 1 species